UACAGAGGUCUCAAGCGUUGUUCGGAUUCAUUGGGCGUAAAGGGUGCGUAGGCGGCGCGGUAAGUCGGGUGUGAAAGCCCGGAGCUCAACUCCGGGUCGGCCGUGCGAACUGCUUUGCUCGAGCACUGUAGAGGCAGGUGGAAUUCCGGGUGUAGCGGUGGAAUGCGUAGAGAUCCGGAAGAACACCGGUGGCGAAGGCGGCCUGCUGGGCAGUUGCUGACACUGAGGCGCGACAGCGUGGGGAGCAAACAGG
rnacentral:rRNA from 1 species